CUAUUAUAUGUUUUAUAUUCACUUUGUAUUUUUCUAUUUCUAAUUUAAAAUUAUCAGGUUGCAGACCAGUUAGACCCAAAAGAUUUUCAGAAAACUGGUUAUGGAAAGAGUAUCAUGUUCCCGAAAGGUAUCAGGUGGAUUUGACAUUGCCUGAUUUUUUAACUACCUGGGAAAUUCAAGGUAUUAGCAUUUCAGAUAAAGGUCUGUGUGUGAGUGAUGAACUGCAACUGAAGGUGUCUGAGGAUCGCUUCCUGGUCACAAACAACAAUGUCACAAGGACAUUUCCAAGACCCAGAGGACUCCAGCGCCAACGGCAGUAAGUGGAUGGCACCGAAGAACCCGAAUCACCCGAGAAGUGGCACGAGAAUCAGCCCCUGAGAAAUCUAACCCAAAACUAGUGCACACAAUUCACUUCAAGGCUGAGGAAACUGAGUAGCUGGCGUCCAGAAGACUUCGAAUGGAGUAGGAGGAAAAGCAGUGAGAGAUUCUUUCAAAAUAUAGCAACCAGUAUACCAAACAGGGAAGUUGAAUGGAGGUUUGGGUGAAAAUGAACCCCAUGUUUUU